rnacentral:rRNA from 1 species
CCUACGGGAGGCUGCAGUGAGGAAUAUUGGUCAAUGGACGAUAGUCUGAACCAGCCAAGUAGCGUGAAGGAUGACUGCCCUAUGGGUUGUAAACUUCUUUUAUAAAGGAAUAAAACGAGGCACGUGUGCCGUUUUGCAUGUACUUUAUGAAUAAGGAUCGGCUAACUCCGUGCCAGCAGCCGCGGUAAUACGGAGGAUCCGAGCGUUAUCCGGAUUUAUUGGGUUUAAAGGGAGCGUAGAUGGGUUGUUAAGUCAGUUGUGAAAGUUUGCGGCUCAACCGUAAAAUUGCAAUUGAUACUGGCAGUCUUGAGUACAGUUGAGGUAGGCGGAAUUCGUGGUGUAGCGGUGAAAUGCUUAGAUAUCACGAAGAACCCCGAUUGCGAAGGCAGCUUACUAAACUGUGACUGACAUUGAUGCUCGAAAGUGUGGGUAUCAAACAGGAUUAGAUACCCCAGUAGUC